AGCCCAGAGCCUGAAUCAGUGUGUGUGUUAGUGGAAGCGUCUGGAAAGGCGCGCGAUACAGGGUGACAGCCCCGUACACAAAAAUGCACAUGCUGUGAGCUCGAUGAGUAGGGCGGGACACGUGGUAUCCUGUCUGAAUAUGGGGGGACCAUCCUCCAAGGCUAAAUACUCCUGACUGACCGAUAGUGAACCAGUACCGUGAGGGAAAGGCGAAAAGAACCCCGGCGAGGGGAGUGAAAAAGAACCUGAAACCGUGUACGUACAAGCAGUGGGAGCACGCUUAGGCGUGUGACUGCGUACCUUUUGUAUAAUGGGUCAGCGACUUAUAUUCUGUAGCAAGGUUAACCGAAUAGGGGAGCCGAAGGGAAACCGAGUCUUAACUGGGCGUUAAGUUGCAGGGUAUAGACCCGAAACCCGGUGAUCUAGCCAUGGGCAGGUUGAAGGUUGGGUAACACUAACUGGAGGACCGAACCGACUAAUGUUGAAAAAUUAGCGGAUGACUUGUGGCUGGGGGUGAAAGGCCAAUCAAACCGGGAGAUAGCUGGUUCUCCCCGAAAGCUAUUUAGGUAGCGCCUCGUGAAUUCAUCUCCGGGGGUAGAGCACUGUUUCGGCAAGGGGGUCAUCCCGACUUACCAACCCGAUGCAAACUGCGAAUACCGGAGAAUGUUAUCACGGGAGACACACGGCGGGUGCUAACGUCCGUCGUGAAGAGGGAAACAACCCAGACCGCCAGCUAAGGUCCCAAAGUCAUGGUUAAGUGGGAAACGAUGUGGGAAGGCCCAGACAGCCAGGAUGUUGGCUUAGAAGCAGCCAUCAUUUAAAGAAAGCGUAAUAGCUCACUGGUCGAGUCGGCCUGCGCGGAAGAUGUAACGGGGCUAAACCAUGCACCGAAGCUGCGGCAGCGACGCUGAUGCGUUGUUGGGUAGGGGAGCGUUCUGUAAGCCUGCGAAGGUGUGCUGUGAGG
rnacentral:rRNA from 1 species